rnacentral:rRNA from 1 species
AUGGCGGCCAUGGACGAGGUGCUCGCCCUGGUGCCGGGGUUCGUCGACAUCCUCGUCCUCGCCGGCGGCCGCGCCUCCUCCGGUGCCGCCGCCACCUGGCGCCCCGGCGACGUCCAGAAGGCCCUCCGCUGGGCGCACUUCUUCGAGGAGGUCUUCAGGAACCUGCGUGAGUCCGGACAGUACGAGGAUUCCGCCAGAGAGUUCGACGCGGCGCUCGCCGAGCUCGCCUCAAGCCCGGGUUUCCCCAAGGGCCUUGCCGACAUGCGAUCGGAGACGCUCUCGGCGGCCACCGAGCUGGUCAUAAAGCAUUUUCUGAAAGCCGAAACAACGAGCGUGGAGAACAUCCGUGCUCUUCUCGAAGCGGUCGUGGGGAUGGAUAUCGAUGUCAUUGGUGCUGGUGGUGGGCGUGAUGCGUGCCAGCAGUAUGUGAAGUCGAUCCUGAAUAUGUAUCUGUCUGGUUUGACGCGGACCAAGAGUGGCGGCGAUGUCGGAGUUCCCACCACUAGUUCUGAUAGACUGUAUGCAGAAUCCUUGGUUGUGGGUCAUUCGCAGAUUCUGGUUAACCAGCUUCUGGAGCGGUUGGAUUCAGCAUCGUGUAUUUCUCUGGCUGAGAGAGGACUGCGCACACUUCUGGACAGCGUGAAGAAGAACAGCUUCAGUGAUCCAGGCAGCCCAGUGAUCCCUAGAAAAUCACAAACCAUCGAGAAUUUUCUUCGGUGGAAACAGUGGAGAGGGCGGUGUUUGUCAUACUUACUUGAUGAACGCACCGUUAGGAUUGUGUCUGGAUCUAGUUUUAUCUUUAGUGCUCCCAAGGAGCAGUGGAUGAAGGUGUUUGAACCAUUAACAGUUUCUGCAGAUUCUUGUCAGAGUGGCCUCGUUGAAGUCAUGGAGAUAUGCUUGCUGGGUUUGGUUUCAAGGCGAUGGGACACAUUGAUAGAGAGCUUUGUGUCGCAUAUUUUUAGUUCCCUUCCUAUAUCCAAGCAGUAUGCUGAUCUGCACCAGUUGCUUCAGGGAACUUAUCGGGGUGAAUGCCCAGACAAGAUUCGUAAUUUGAAGGAAAAUGACAUUCUUGAGUAUGCAAGGCAAUCAUUGGAAAGUGAACCGCACAUAUUAUGGCUUCUGCCUCCAGUUCUUACUGCUGCAGCAAUUCCGCCACGGUCGAGCUUGUUUGAAAUAUACCUUGCUGAAAUAGAUAAGCAAUUUGAUGAAGCUGUUUUCACAGAACGGAAAUGUAAUUGCAGAAGAGAUGGAAUAGAGCAACAUGAUAGCUGUGAGGUUGCCGAAAGGAUUCAAUGUCUCUACGCUUUCCAUGUUCAGCAACCUCAUCCAAUGGUUUAG